rnacentral:rRNA from 1 species
CAAAAAAGUUUGGGUAGAGCCGGAUCUAAGUGUUGGCUAGGUAAACGCCCCGUAGUAAGAGGGGUAGUUAUGAACCCUGUGGACCACCCCCAUGGGGGCGGUGAAGGGAAAGCUCCCAUCCAUAUACCGUUGAAUCCUUGGGGUUCCAGAAUCUGCCUAUUUUACUAG